GGCGGUGUAGUAUAGUGGUCAGUACAUGCCGUGACAGUGCACCGGACACCCUUACUCUAACAAAGUAAGAGAUGUGAACCCCACUCGAUGACAAUGUCCUAGUUCAAGUCCAGGCGCCGCCA